rnacentral:rRNA from 1 species
AUUGAACGCUGGCGGCAUGCCUUACACAUGCAAGUCGAACGGCAGCGCGGGAGCAAUCCUGGCGGCGAGUGGCGAACGGGUGAGUAGUACAUCGGAACGUGCCCAAUCGUGGGGGAUAACGCAGCGAAAGCUGUGCUAAUACCGCAUACGAUCUACGGAUGAAAGCAGGGGAUCGCAAGACCUUGCGCGAAUGGAGCGGCCGAUGGCAGAUUAGGUAGUUGGUGAGGUAAAGGCUCACCAAGCCUUCGAUCUGUAGCUGGUCUGAGAGGACGACCAGCCACACUGGGACUGAGACACGGCCCAGACUCCUACGGGAGGCAGCAGUGGGGAAUUUUGGACAAUGGGCGAAAGCCUGAUCCAGCCAUGCCGCGUGCAGGAUGAAGGCCUUCGGGUUGUAAACUGCUUUUGUACGGAACGAAACGGUCUUUUCUAAUAAAGAAGGCUAAUGACGGUACCGUAAGAAUAAGCACCGGCUAACUACGUG